rnacentral:tRNA from 1 species
GCGGUUGAUCUCUAUCCGCAUAAAUAAAUGUAACCGAUUUAUCAAUGGAAGUCGAACCGACUUCCUGUCCGCUGACUACGGAUCAGAAGGUUAGGGGUUCGAAUCCCUUCCGGCGCACCA